GGGCGAGUGGUGGAACGGUAUACACGUUGGACUUAAAAUCCAAUGGCUGAAAGGCCGUAAGGGUUCGAAUCCCUUCUCGCCCA
rnacentral:tRNA from 1 species